rnacentral:rRNA from 1 species
CCUACGGGAGGCAGCAGUGAGGAAUAUUGGUCAAUGGGCGCGAGCCUGAACCAGCCAAGUAGCGUGAAGGAUGACUGCCCUACGGGUUGUAAACUUCUUUUAUAAAGGAAUAAAGUGAGGCACGUGUGCCUUUUUGUAUGUACUUUAUGAAUAAGGAUCGGCUAACCCCGUGCCGGCAACCGCGGUAAUACGGAGGAUCCGAGCGUUAUCCGGAUUUAUUGUGUUUAAAGGGAGCGUAGAUGGGUUGUUAAGUCAGUUUUGAAAGUUUGCGGCUCAACCGUAAACUUGCAAUUGAUACUGGCAGCCUUGAGUACAGUUGAGGUAGGCGGAAUUCGUGGUGUAGCGGUGAAAUGCUUAGAUAUCACGAGGAACUCCGAUUGCGAAGGCAGCUUACUAAACUGCCACUGACAUUGAUGCUCGAAAGUGUGGGUAUCAAACAGGAUUAGAUACCCGUGUAGUC